ACUUAAGUAGUUUAAGAAAAACCUUGAUUUGUGGUGUCAAAAAUAUAAAAAAUUUAUCUUAGGUC
rnacentral:tRNA from 1 species